GCCUUUCCUCCAGGACAGCUCCAGUGCUUGAUGUGGGCUUUCUCCUUUUCCAGUUCUCCAUGAUUCUUUUACCUGAACCUGGUUGAAGCUCUUCUGUGUGCUCCAGCUGGGAGUCUCCCUUCAGCCCUUAGUACCUUCCUCCUAAUUCCCUGUGUUCAUCAUCAAACCACCUGCCCUGUCAAUCCUCCACUCCAUACUCCAUCCUGCAAGGCUGCAAAGGCAAAUAUAUAAAGACUCACUUCCGACAAAAACAGCAUCUGCCAACCUCCGCCUCAGAAUCAUCCAGGUGCGGACCAAAAAGUUUGGAGAUGUCCACUAAAAAGAAGCCAAAUCAAGACAAAUAUUUAGCUGUUUGUCCUAAAUGACCAGAGUGUACAUCCAUCAGGGAGUGCUCCAGUGGAGCGCGGCGGGUCCGACAAUUGUCCUCAUAAAUUGCAUGUGUGUCGGGGUGCAGAGAGGCUAAGUGAGCAGUAAAUAACAAAGGGGCCCCGCCGCCAUCCGUUCACUGUUGCCGCGUUUCCGGCCACGCAAGAUUACCCAGGAUGCCCCAUGAGAGGGUGUCUUCUUCGUCGGCGUGAUGAAUGGACAGGCGGCAGGAAGAAGACGCCUUCAGUGCCCGGCGUCUGACAGA